rnacentral:rRNA from 2 species
GUGGGUAGUUUGACUGGGGCGGUCUCCUCCUAAAGAGUAACGGAGGAGCACGAAGGUUGGCUAAUCCUGGUCGGACAUCAGGAGGUUAGUGCAAUGGCAUAAGCCAGCUUGACUGCGAGCGUGACGGCGCGAGCAGGUGCGAAAGCAGGUCAUAGUGAUCCGGUGGUUCUGAAUGGAAGGGCCAUCGCUCAACGGAUAAAAGGUACUCCGGGGAUAACAGGCUGAUACCGCCCAAGAGUUCAUAUCGACGGCGGUGUUUGGCACCUCGAUGUCGGCUCAUCACAUCCUGGGGCUGAAGUAGGUCCCAAGGGUAUGGCUGUUCGCCAUUUAAAGUGGUACGCGAGCUGGGUUUAGAACGUCGUGAGACAGUUCGGUCCCUAUCUGCCGUGGGCGCUGGAGAACUGAGGGGGGCUGCUCCUAGUACGAGAGGACCGGAGUGGACGCAUCACUGGUGUUCGGGUUGUCAUGCCAAUGGCACUGCCCGGUAGCUAAAUGCGGAAGAGAUAAGUGCUGAAAGCAUCUAAGCACGAAACUUGCCCCGAGAUGAGUUCUCCCUGAGACUUUAGGUCUCCUGAAGGAACGUUGAAGACGACGACGUUGAUAGGCCG